CCUACGGGAGGCAGCAGUGAGGAAUAUUGGUCAAUGGGCGCGAGCCUGAACCAGCCAAGUAGCGUGAAGGAUGACUGCCCUACGGGUUGUAAACUUCUUUUAUAAAGGAAUAAAGUGAGGCAAGUGUGCCUUUUUGUAUGUACUUUAUGAAUAAGGAUCGGCUAACUCCGUGCCAGCAGCCGCGGUAAUAUGGAGGAUCCGAGCGUUAUCCGGAUUUAUUGGGUUUAAAGGGAGCGUAGAUGGGUUGUUAAGUCAGUUGUGAAAGUUUGCGGCUCAACCGUAAAAUUGCAAUUGAUACUGGCAGCCUUGAGUACAGUUGAGGUAGGCGGAAUUCGAGGUGUAGCGGUGAAAUGCGUAGAUAUCUCGAAGAACUCCGAUUGCGAAGGCAGCUUACUAAGCUGCCACUGACAUUGAUGCUCGAAAGUGUGGGUAUCAAACAGGAUUAGAUACCCCGGUAGUC
rnacentral:rRNA from 1 species